rnacentral:rRNA from 1 species
AGCGAACGCUGGCGGCAGGCUUAACACAUGCAAGUCGAGCGGGCACUUCGGGGUCAUCGGCAGACGGGUGAGUAACACGUGGGAACGUACCCUUCGGUUCGGAAUAACGCUGGGAAACUAGCGCUAAUACCGGAUACGCCCUUUUGGGGAAAGGUUUACUGCCGAAGGAUCGGCCCGCGUCUGAUUAGCUAGUUGGUGGGGUAAUGGCCUACCAAGGCGAAGAUCAGUAGAUGGUCUGAGAGGAUGAUCAGCCACACUGGGACUGAGAAACGGCCCAGAAUCCUCCGGGAGGCAGGAGUGGGGAAUAUUGGAACAUGGGCGCAAGGAUGAUCCAGCCAUGACGGGUGAGUGAUGAAGGCCUUAGGGUUGUAAAGCUCUUUUGUCCGGGAAGAUAAUGACGGUACCGGAAGAAUAAGCCCCGGCUAACUUCGUG